CCUCAUUUUCCAUCUUCCUUGCCGCCCCACUUUCUUCUUCAGUUCACCAUUGCCCAUCCUCCAUUAAAGCUUGCACUCAAGCUUUAUUCCUCCACUCAACCUUAAUAACUCCCUUAAAAACCUCCCUAGAACUUGUUAUUGCAACUCAAGAAGGAGAUUACAAGAAGAAAGAAGAGUUAAGAUAGGGUUUUGAAGCUUUGAGAAAGUGGAAAAGAAUACCGGGACAGAACCCGAGGAGUCGAGUCAAGGCCAACAGGCGACUCGUUUGAGAUACAGAGACUAGAGGAGCAGCAGACUGAGCUGCUGAGG